rnacentral:rRNA from 1 species
UAACACGUGGGUAACCUGCCCCGAUGACUGGGACAACCCGAGGAAACUCGGGCUAAUACCAGAUGUGCUCUUGACCCACCAGGGUCAUUGAGGAAAGGUAGCUUCGGCUUCCGCAUCGGGAUGGGCCCGCGGCCCAUUAGCUUGUUGGUGGGGUAAUGGCCUACCAAGGCGACGAUGGGUAGCUGGUCUGAGAGGACGAUCAGCCACACUGGGACUGAGACACGGCCCAG